rnacentral:lncRNA from 1 species
AGAAGUUGUAGGAAAAAGUUGGGCCGAGUGGAAUGAAUGAGGCUGUAGAGGCUUAUUAUAGGGAGAGGGGUCUGGCCCAGUGGAACGAAUGGGAGGGAAAAAUGUUCAUGGAGGGGUGUGUGUGUGGGGGGGUCCAAAUAUUCCUUUAACUGAUCAAAUAGGAGAUAGCUAAUUUUUUUAGCCUAACUGAUCCAAACAAGGGAACAUGAGAAUUGAUUGAUAAAUUCUUGGAAUCGGCCACAUGAUACCCGUCAAUUUCUCAACCAAAGAUCAUUUCUCAAUCAGAAAACCAAAGCUUGUCUACUACUCCAUUCGUUUCAAAAUGCAAGUAGUUUUAAAUUUUCUAUAAAGAUAGGUCCUGCUAUGCACCGAAAUAUAGAGUUAUACCUAGAUAAAUAACAUCUAUAGCCUUAACCAGAGCUUGGAGACCCCUUGCAAGUGUAGCAGCCGCCAUGGGAGUUGGAGGUGUUGUCUAGGGUUUCACUACGACACUACCUGGAAGGCUUAUUAUAGGGAGAAGUUGUAGGGAGAAGUUGGACUUAGUGGAACGAAUGAGGCUGGAGAGGCUUAUUAUAGGGAGAGGGGUCUGGCCCAGUGGAACGAAUGGGAGGGGAAAAUGUUUAUGGAGGGGUGUGUGUGUGUGGGGGGGUCCAAAUAUUCCUUUAACUGAUCAAAUAGGAGAUAGCUAAUUUUUUUAGCCUAACUGAUCCAAACAAGGGAACAUGAGAAUUGAUUGAUAAAUUCUUGGAAUCGGCCACAUGAUACCCGUCAAUUUCUCAACCAAAGAUCAUUUCUCAAUCAGAAAACCAAAGCUUGUCUACUACUCCAUCCGUUUCAAAAUGCAAGUAGUUUUGAAUUUUCUAUACAAAUAGGUCCUGCUAUGCACCUAAAUAUAGAGUUAUACCUAGAUUAAUAACAUCUAUAGCCUUGACCAGAGCUUGGAGACCCCUUGCAACUGUAGCAGCCGCCAUGGGAGUUGGAGGUGUUGUCUAGGGUUUCACUACGACACUACCUGGAAGGCUUAUUAUAGGGAGAAGUUGUAGGGAGAAGUUGGGCCGAGUGGAACGAAUGAGGCUGUAGAGGCUUAUUAUAGGGAGAGGGGUCUGGCCCAAUGGAACGAAUGGGAGGGAAAAAUGUUCAUGGAGGGGUGUGUGUGUGGGGGGGUCCAAAUAUUUCUUUAACUGAUCAAAUAGGAGAUAGCUAAUUUUUUUAGCCUAACUGAUCCAAACAAGGGAACAUGAGAAUUGAUUGAUAAAUUCUUGGAAUCGGCCACAUGAUACCCGUCAAUUUCUCAACCAAAGAUCAUUUCUCAAUCAGAAAACCAAAGCUUGUCUACUACUCCAUCCGUUUCAAAAUGCAAGUAGUUUUGAAUUUUCUAUACAGAUAGGUCCUGCUAUGCACCUAAAUAUAGAGUUGUACCUAGAUAAAUAACAUCUAUACCCUUGACUAGAGCUUGGAGACCCCUUGCAACUGUAGCAUCCGCCAUGGGAGUUGGAGGUGUUGUCUAGGGUUUCACUACGACACUACCUAGAAGGUUUAUUAUAGGGAGAAGUUGUAGGGAGAAGUUGGGCCGAGUGGAACGAAUGAGGCUGUAGAGGCUUAUUAUAGGGAGAGGGGUCUGGCCCAGUGGAACGAAUGGGAGGGAAAAAUAUUCAUGGAGGGGUGUGUGUGUGUGUGGGGGGGGGGGGGGUCCAAAUAUUCUUUAACUGAUAAAAUUGGAGAUAGCUAAUUUUUUUGGCCUAACUGAUCCAAACAAGGGAACAUGAGAAUUGAUUGAUAAAUUCUUGGAAUCGGCCACAUGAUACCCGUCAAUUUCUCAACCAAAGAUCAUUUCUCAAUCAGAAAACAAAAGAUUGUCUACUACUCCAUCCGUUUCAAAAUGCAAGUAGUUUUGAAUUUUCUAUACAGAUAGGUCCUGCUAUGCACCUAAAUAUAGAGUUAUACCUAGAUAAAUAACAUCUAUAGCCUUGACCGGAGCUUGGAGAUCCCUUGCAACUGUAGCAGCCGCCAUGGGAGUUGGAGGUGUUGUCUAGGGUUUCACUACGACACUACCUGGAAGGCUUAUUAUAGGGAGAAGUUGUAGGGAGAAGUUGGGCCGAGUGGAAGGAAUGAGGCUGUAGAGGCUUAUUAUAGGGAGAGGGGUUUGGCCCAGUGGAACGAAUGGGAGGGAAAAAUGUUCAUGGAGGGGUGUGUGGGGGGGGGUCCAAAUAUUUCUUUAACUGAUCAAAUAGGAGAUAGCUAAUUUUUUUAGCCUAACUGAUCCAAACAAGGGAACAUGAGAAUUGAUUGAUAAAUUCUUGGAAUCGGCCACAUGAUACCCGUCAAUUUCUCAACCAAAGAUCAUUUCUCAAUAAGAAAACCAAAGCUUGUCUACUACUCUAUCCGUUUCAAAAUGCAAGUAGUUUUGAAUUUUCUAUACAGAUAGGUCCUGCUAUGCACCUAAAUAUAGAGUUAUACCUAGAUAAAUAACAUCUAUAGCCUUGACCGGAGCUUGGAGAUCCCUUGCAACUGUAGCAGCCGCCAUGGGAGUUGGAGGUGUUGUCUAGGGUUUCACUACGACACUACCUGGAAGGCUUAUUAUAGGGAGAAGUUGUAGGGAGAAGUUGGGCCGAGUGGAAGGAAUGAGGCUGUAGAGGCUUAUUAUAGGGAGAGGGGUUUGGCCCAGUGGAACGAAUGGGAGGGAAAAAUGUUCAUGGAGGGGUGUGUGGGGGGGGGGUCCAAAUAUUUCUUUAACUGAUCAAAUAGGAGAUAGCUAAUUUUUUUAGCCUAACUGAUCCAAACAAGGGAACAUGAGAAUUGAUUGAUAAAUUCUUGGAAUCGGCCACAUGAUACCCGUCAAUUUCUCAACCAAAGAUCAUUUCUCAAUAAGAAAACCAAAGCUUGUCUACUACUCUAUCCGUUUCAAAAUGCAAGUAGUUUUGAAUUUUCUAUACAGAUAGGUCCUGCUAUGCACCUAAAUAUAGAGUUAUACCUAGAUAAAUAACAUCUAUAGCCUUGACCAGAGCUUGGAGACCCCUUGCAACUGUAGCAGCCGCCAUGGGAGUUGGAGGUGUUGUCUAGGGUUUCACUACGACACUACCUGGAAGGCUUAUUAUAGGGAGAAGUUGUAGGGAGAAGUUGGGCCGAGUGGAAGGAAUGAUGCUGUAGAGGCUUAUUAUAGGGAUAGGGGUCUGGCCCAGUGGAACGAAUGGGAGGGAAAAAUGUUCAUGGAGGGGUGUGUGGGGGGGGGUCCAAAUAUUUUUCUUUAACUGAUCAAAUAGGAGAUAGCUAAUUUUUUUAGCCUAACUGAUCCAAACAAGGGAACAUGAGAAUUGAUUGAUAAAUUCUUGGAAUCGGCCACAUGAUACCCGUCAAUUUCUCAACCAAAGAUCAUUUCUCAAUAAGAAAACCAAAGCUUGUCUACUACUCUAUCCGUUUCAAAAUGCAAGUAGUUUUAAAUUUUCUAUAUAGAUAGGUCCUCCUAUGCACCUAAAUAUAGAGUUAUACCUAGAUAAUUAACAUCUAUAGCCUUAACCAGAGCUUGGAGACCCCUUGCAACUGUAGCAGCCGCCAUGAAAGUUGGAGGUGUUGUCUAGGGUUUCACUACGACACUACCUGGAAGGCUUAUUAUAGGGAGAAGUUGUAGGGAGAAGUUGGGCCGAGUGGAAGGAAUGAGGCUGUAGAGGCUUAUUAUAGGGAGAGGGGUUUGGCCCAGUGGAACGAAUGGGAGGGAAAAAUGUUCAUGGAGGGGUGUGUGGGGGGGGGUCCAAAUAUUUCUUUAACUGAUCAAAUAGGAGAUAGCUAAUUUUUUUAGCCUAACUGAUCCAAACAAGGGAACAUGAGAAUUGAUUGAUAAAUUCUUGGAAUCGGCCACAUGAUACCCGUCAAUUUCUCAACCAAAGAUCAUUUCUCAAUAAGAAAACCAAAGCUUGUCUACUACUCUAUCCGUUUCAAAAUGCAAGUAGUUUUGAAUUUUCUAUACAGAUAGGUCCUGCUAUGCACCUAAAUAUAGAGUUAUACCUAGAUAAAUAACAUCUAUAGCCUUGACCGGAGCUUGGAGAUCCCUUGCAACUGUAGCAGCCGCCAUGGGAGUUGGAGGUGUUGUCUAGGGUUUCACUACGACACUACCUGGAAGGCUUAUUAUAGGGAGAAGUUGUAGGGAGAAGUUGGGCCGAGUGGAAGGAAUGAGGCUGUAGAGGCUUAUUAUAGGGAGAGGGGUUUGGCCCAGUGGAACGAAUGGGAGGGAAAAAUGUUCAUGGAGGGGUGUGUGGGGGGGGGGGGGUCCAAAUAUUUCUUUAACUGAUCAAAUAGGAGAUAGCUAAUUUUUUAGCCUAACUGAUCCAAACAAGGGAACAUGAGAAUUGAUUGAUAAAUUCUUGGAAUCGGCCACAUGAUACCCGUCAAUUUCUCAACCAAAGAUCAUUUCUCAAUAAGAAAACCAAAGCUUGUCUACUACUCUAUCCGUUUCAAAAUGCAAGUAGUUUUGAAUUUUCUAUACAGAUAGGUCCUGCUAUGCACCUAAAUAUAGAGUUAUACCUAGAUAAAUAACAUCUAUAGCCUUGACCAGAGCUUGGAGACCCCUUGCAACUGUAGCAGCCGCCAUGGGAGUUGGAGGUGUUGUCUAGGGUUUCACUACGACACUACCUGGAAGGCUUAUUAUAGGGAGAAGUUGUAGGGAGAAGUUGGGCCGAGUGGAAGGAAUGAGGCUGUAGAGGCUUAUUAUAGGGAUAGGGGUCUGGCCCAGUGGAACGAAUGGGAGGGAAAAAUGUUCAUGGAGGGGUGUGUGGGGGGGGGGUCCAAAUAUUUUCUUUAACUGAUCAAAUAGGAGAUAGCUAAUUUUUUUAGCCUAACUGAUCCAAACAAGGGAACAUGAGAAUUGAUUGAUAAAUUCUUGGAAUCGGCCACAUGAUACCCGUCAAUUUCUCAACCAAAGAUCAUUUCUCAAUAAGAAAACCAAAGCUUGUCUACUACUCUAUCCGUUUCAAAAUGCAAGUAGUUUUAAAUUUUCUAUAUAGAUAGGUCCUCCUAUGCACCUAAAUAUAGAGUUAUACCUAGAUAAUUAACAUCUAUAGCCUUAACCAGAGCUUGGAGACCCCUUGCAACUGUAGCAGCCGCCAUGGAAGUUGGAGGUGUUGUCUAGGGUUUCACUACGACACUACCUGGAAGGCUUAUUAUAGGGAGAAGUUGUAGGGAGAAGUUGGGCCGAUUGGAACGAAUGAGGCUGUAGAGGCUUAUUAUAGGGAGAGGGGUCUAGCCCAGUGGAACGAAUGGGAGGGGAAAAUGUUUAUGGAGGGGUGUGUGUGUGGGGGGGGGGGGUCGAAAUAUUCCUUUAACUGAUCAAAUAGGAGAUAGCUAAUUUUUUUAGCCUAACUAAUCCAAACAAGGGAACAUGAGAAUUGAUUGAUAAAUUCUUGGAAUCGUCCACAUGAUACCCGUCAAUUUCUCAACCAAAGAUCAUUUCUCAAUCAGAAAACCAAAGCUUGUCUACUACUCCAUUCGUUUGAAAAUGCAAGUACUUUUGAAUUUUCUAUACAGAUAGGUCCUGCUAUGCACCUAAAUAUAGAGUUAUACCUAGAUUAAUAACAUCUAUAGCCUUGACCAGAGCUUGGAGACCCCUUGCAACUGUAGCAGCCGCCAUGGGAAUUGGAGGUGUUGUCUAGGGUUUCACUACGACACUACCUGGAAGGCUUAUUAUAGGGAGAAGUUGUAGGGAGAAGUUGGGCCGAGUGGAACGAAUGAGGCUGUAGAGGCUUAUUAUAGGGAGAGGGGUCUGGCCCAAUGGAACGAAUGGGAGGGAAAAAUGUUCAUGGAGGGGUGUGUGGGGGGGUCCAAAUAUUUCUUUAACUGAUCAAAUAGGAGAUAGCAAAUUUUUUUAGCCAAACUGAUCCAAAUAAGGGAACAUGAGAAUUGAUUGAUAAAUUCUUGGAAUCGGCCACAUGAUACCCGUCAAUUUUUCAACCAAAGAUCAUUUCUCAAUCAGAAAACCAAAGGUUGUCUACUACUCCAUCCGUUUCAAAAUGCAAGUAGUUUUGAAUUUUCUAUACAGAUAGGUGCUGCUAUUCACCUAAAUAUAGAGUUGUACCUAGAUAAAUAACAUCUAUAGCCUUGACCAGAGCUUGGAGACCCCUUGCAACUGUAGCAUCCGACAUGGGAGUUGGAGGUGUUGUCUAGGGUUUCACUACGACACUACCUCGAAGGUUUAUUAUAGGGAGAAGUUGUAGGGAGAAGUUGGGCCGAGUGGAACGAAUGAGGCUGUAGAGGCUUAUUAUAGGGAGAGGGGUCUGGCCCAGUGGAACGAAUGGGAGGGAAAAAUAUUCAUGGAGGGGUGUGUGUGUGUGGGGGGGGGGGUCCAAAUAUUCCUUUAACUGAUAAAAUUGGAGAUAGCUAAUUUUUUUGGCCUAACUGAUCCAAACAAGGGAACAUGAGAAUUGAUUGAUAAAUUCUUGGAAUCGGCCACAUGAUACCCGUCAAUUUCUCAACCAAAGAUCAUUUCUCAAUCAGAAAACAAAAGAUUGUCUACUACUCCAUCCGUUUCAAAAUGCAAGUAGUUUUGAAUUUUCUAUACAGAUAGGUCCUGCUAUGCACCUAAAUAUAGAGUUAUACCUAGAUAAAUAACAUCUAUAGCCUUGACCGGAGCUUGGAGAUCCCUUGCAACUGUAGCAGCCGCCAUGGGAGUUGGAGGUGUUGUCUAGGGUUUCACUACGACACUACCUGGAAGGCUUAUUAUAGGGAGAAAUUGUAGGGAGAAGUUGGGCCGAGUGGAAGGAAUGAGGCUGUAGAGGCUUAUUAUAGGGAGAGGGGUCUGGCCCAGUGGAACGAAUGGGAGGGAAAAAUGUUCACGGAGGGGUGUGUGUGGGGGGGGUCCAAAUAUUUCUUUAACUGAUCAAAUAGGAGAUAGCUAAUUUUUUUAGCCUAACUGAUCCAAACAAGGGAACAUGAGAAUUGAUUGAUAAAUUCUUGGAAUCGGCCACAUGAUACCCGUCAAUUUCUCAACCAAAGAUCAUUUCUCAAUAAGAAAACCAAAGCUUGUCUACUACUCUAUCCGUUUCAAAAUGCAAGUAGUUUUGAAUUUUCUAUACAGAUAGGUCCUCCUAUGCACCUAAAUAUAGAGUUAUACCUAGAUAAUUAACAUCUAUAGCCUUAACCAGAGCUUGGAGACCCCUUGCAACUGUAGCAGCCGCUAUGGAAGUUGGAGGUGUUUUCUAGGGUUUCACUACGACACUACCUGGAAGGCUUAUUAUAGGGAGAAGUUGUAGGGAGAAGUUGGGCCGAUUGGAACGAAUGAGGCUGUAGAGGCUUAUUAUAGGGAGAGGGGUCUGGCCCAGUGGAACGAAUGGGAGGGGAAAAUGUUUAUGGAGGGGUGUGUGUGUGUGGGGGGGGGUCCAAAUAUUCCUUUAACUGAUCAAAUAGGAGAUAGCUAAUUUUUUUAGCCUAACUAAUCCAAACAAGGGAACAUGAGAAUUGAUUGAUAAAUUCUUGGAAUCGGCCACAUGAUACCCGUCAAUUUCUCAACCAAAGAUCAUUUCUCAAUCAGAAAACCAAAGCUUGUCUACUACUCCAUCCGUUUCAAAAUGCAAGUAGUUUUGAAUUUUCUAUACAGAUAGGUCCUGCUAUGCACCUAAAUAUAGAGUUAUACCUAGAUUAAUAACAUCUAUAGCCUUGACCAGAGCUUGGAGACCCCUUGCAACUGUAGCAGCCGCCAUGGGAGUUGGAGGUGUUGUCUACGGUUUCACUACGACACUACCUGGAAGGCUUAUUAUAGGGAGAAGUUGUAGGGAGAAGUUGGGCCGAGUGGAACGAAUGAGGUUGUAGAGGCUUAUUAUAGGGAGAGGGGUCUGGCCCAGUGGAACGAAUGGGAGGGAAAAAUGUUCAUGGAGGGGUGUGUGGGGGGGGUCCAAAUAUUUCUUUAACUGAUCAAAUAGGAGAUAGCUAAUUUUUUUGGCUAACUGAUCCAAACAAGGGAACAUGAGAUUUGAUUGAUAAAUUCUUGGAAUCGGCCACAUGAUACCCGUCAAUUUCUCAACCAAAGAUUAUUUCUCAAUCAGAAAACAAAAGAUUGUCUACUACUCCAUCCGUUUCAAAAUGCAAGUAGUUUUGAAUUUUCUAUACAGAUAGGUCCUGCUAUGCACCUAAAUAUAGAGUUAUACCUAGAUAAAUAACAUCUAUAGCCUUGACCGGAGCUUGGAGAUCCCUUGCAACUGUAGCAGCCGCCAUGGGAGUUGGAGGUGUUGUCUAGGGUUUCACUACGACACUACCUGGAAGGCUUAUUAUAGGGAGAAGUUGUAGGGAGAAGUUGGGCCGAGUGGAACGAAUGAGGCUGUAGAGGCUUAUUAUAGGGAGAGGGGUCUGGCCCAGUGGAACGAAUGGGAGGGAAAAAUGUUCAUGGAGGGGUGUGUGGGGGGGGUCCAAAUAUUUCUUUAACUGAUCAAAUAGGAGAUAGCUAAUUUUUUUAGCCUAACUGAUCCAAACAAGGGAACAUGAGAAUUGAUUGAUAAAUUCUUGGAAUCGGCCACAUGAUACUCGUCAAUUUCUCAACCAAAGAUCAUUUCUCAAUCAGAAAACCAAAGCUUGUCUACUACUCCAUCCGUUUCAAAAUGCAAGUAGUUUUGAAUUUUCUAUACAGAUAGGUCCUGCUAUGCACCUAAAUAUAGAGUUAUACCUAGAUAAAUAACAUCUAUAGCCUUAACCAGAGCUUGGAGACCCCUUGCAACUGUAGCAGCCGCCAUGGGAGUUGGAGGUGUUGUCUAGGGUUUCACUACGAUACUACCUGGAAGGCUUAUUAUUGGGAGAAGUUGUAGGGAGAAGUUGGGCCGAGUGGAACGAAUGAGGCUGGAGAGGCUUAUUAUAGGGAGAGGGGUCUGGCCCAGUGGAACGAAUGGGAGGGGAAAAUGUUUAUGGAGGGGUGUGUGUGUGGGGGGGGGGUCCAAAUAUUCGUUUAACUGAUCAAAUAGGAGAUAGCUAAUUUUUUUAGCCUAACUGAUCCAAACAAGGGAAAAUGAGAAUUGAUUGAUAAAUUCUUGGAAUUGGUCACAUGAUACCCGUCAAUUUCUCUAACCAAAGAUCAUUUCUCAAUCAGAAAACCAAAGCUUGUCUACUACUCCAUCCGUUUCAAAAUGCAAGUAGUUUUGAAUUUUCUAUACAGAUAGGUCCUGCUAUGCACCUAAAUAUAGAGUUAUACCUAGAUAAAUAACAUCUAUAGCCUUGACCAGAGCUUGGAGACCCCUUGAAACUGUAGCAGCCGCCAUGGGAGUUGGAGGUGUUGUCUAGGGUUUCACUACGACACUACCUGAAAGGCUUAUUAUAGGGAGAAGUUGUAGGGAGAAGUUGGGCCGAGUGGAACGAAUGAGGCUGUAGAGGCUUAUUAUAGGGACAGGGGUCUGGCCCAGUGGAACGAAUGGGAGGGAAAAAUGUUCAUGGAGGGGUGUGUGGGGGGGGUCCAAAUAUUUCUUUAACUGAUCAAAUAGGAGAUAGCUAAUUUUUUUAGCCUAACUGAUCCAAACAAGGGAACAUGAGAAUUGAUUGAUAAAUUCUUGGAAUCGGCCACAUGAUACCCGUCAAUUUCUCAACCAAAGAUCAUUUCUCAAUCAGAAAACCAAAGCUUGUCUACUACUCCAUCCGUUUCAAAAUGCAAGUAGUUUUGAAUUUUCUAUACAGAUAGGUCCUGCCUAUGCACCUAAAUAUAGAGUUAUACCUAGAUAAAUAACAUCUAUAGCCUUAACCAGCAGCUUGGAGACCCCUUGCAACUGUAGCAGCCGCCAUGGGAGUUGGAUGUGUUGUCUAGGGUUUCACUACGACACUACCUGGAAGGCUUAUUAUAGGGAGAAGUUGUAGGGAGAAGGUUGGCCGAUUGGAACGAAUGAGGCUGUAGAGGCUUAUUAUAGGGAGAGGGGUCUGGCCCAGUGGAACGAAUGGGAGGGAAAAAUAGUUCAUGGAGGGGUGUGUGUGUGGGGGGGGGGGUCCAAAUAUUCCUUUAACUGAUAAAAUAGGAGAUAGCUAAUUUUUUUAGCCUAACUGAUCCAAACAAGGCGAACAUGAGAAUUGAUUGAUAAAUUCUUGGAAUCGGCCACAUGAUACCCGUCAAUUUCUCAACCAAAGAUCAUUUCUCAAUCAGAAAACCAAAGAUUGUCUACUACUCCAUCCGUUUCAAAAUGCAAGUAGUUUUAAAUUUUCUAUACAGAUAGGUCCUGCUAUGCACCUAAAUAUAGAGUUAUACCUAGAUAAAUAACAUCUAUAGCCUUGACCAGAGCUUGGAGAUCCCUUGCAACUGUAGCAGCCGCCAUGGGAGUUGGAGGUGUUGUCUAGGGUUUCACUACGACACUACCUGGAAGGCUUAUUAUAGGGAGAAGUUGUAGGGAGAAGGUUGGGCCAAGUGGAACGAAUGAGGCUGUAGAGGCUUAUUAUAGGGAGAGGGGUCUGGCCCAGUGGAACGAAUGGGAGGGAAAAAUGUUCAUGGAGGGGUGUGUGUGGGGGGGGGUCCAAAUAUUCCUUUAACUGAUCAAAUAGGAGAUAGCUAAUUUUUUAGCCUAACUGAUCCAAACAAGGGAACAUGAGAAUUGAUUGAUAAAUUCUUGGAAUCGGCCACAUGAUACCCGUCAAUUUCUCAACCAAAGAUCAUUUCUCAAUCAGAAAACCAAAGCUUGUCUACUACUCCAUCCGUUUCAAAAUGCAAGUAGUUUUGAAUUUUCUAUACAGAUAGGUCCUGCUAUGCACCUAAAUAUAGAGUUAUACCUAGAUAAAUAACAUCUAUAGCCUUGACCAGAGCUUGGAGACCCCUUGCAACUGUAGCAGCCGCCAUGGGAGUUGGAGGUGUUGUCUAGGGUUUCACUACGACACUACCUGGAAGGCUUAUUAUAGGGAGAAGUUGUAGGGAGAAGUUGGGCUGAGUGGAACGAAUGAGGCUGUAGAGGCUUAUUAUAGGGAGAGGGGUCUGGCCCAGUGGAACGAAUGGGAGGGCAAAAAUGUUCAUGGAGGGUGUGUGUUGGGGGGGGUUCCAAAUAUUCCUUUAACUGAUCAAAUAGGAGAUAGCUAAUUUUUUUAGCCUAACUGAUCCAAACAAGGGAACAUGAGAAUUGAUUGAUAAAUUCUUGGAAUCGGCCACAUGAUACCCGUCAAUUUCUCAACCAAAGAUCAUUUCUCAAUCAGAAAACCAAAGGUUGUCUACUACUCCAUCCGUUUCAAAAUGCAAGUAGUUUUGAAUUUUCUAUACAGAUAGGUCCUGCUAUGCACCUAAAUAUAGAGUUAUACCUAGAUAAAUAACAUCUAUAGCCUUGACCAGAGCUUGGAGACCCCUUGCAACUGUAGCAGCCGCCAUGGGAGUUGGAGGUGUUGUCUAGGGUUUCACUACGACACUACCUGGAAGGCUUAUUAUAGGGAGAAGUUGUAGGGAGAAGUUGGGCUGAGUGGAACGAAUGAGGCUGUAGAGGCUUAUUAUAGGGAGAGGGGUCUGGCCCAGUGGAACGAAUGGGAGGCAAAAAUGUUCAUGGAGGGGUGUGUGUGGGGGGGGGGUCCAAAUAUUCCUUUAACUGAUCAAAUAGGAGAUAGCUAAUUUUUUAGCCUAACUGAUCCAAACAAGGGAACAUGAGCAUUGAUUGAUAAAUUCUUGGAAUCGGCCACAUGAUACCCGUCAACCAAAGAUCAUUUCUCAAUCAGAAAACCAAAGCUUGUCUACUACUCUAUCCGUUUCAAAAUGCAAGUAGUUUUGAAUUUUCUAUACAGAUAGGUCCUGCUAUGCACCUAAAUAUAGAGGUAUACCUAGAUAAAUAACAUCUAUAGCCUUAACCAGAGCUUGGAGACCCCUUGCAACUGUAGCAGCCGCCAUGGGAGUUGGAUGUGUUGUCUAGGGUUUCACUACGACACUACCUGGAAGGCUUAUUAUAGAGAGAUGUUGUAGGGAGAAGGUUGGCCAAUUGGACCGAAUGAGGCUGUAGAGGCUUAUUAUAGGGAGAGGGGUCUGGCCCAGUGGAACGAAUGGGAGGGAAAAAUGUUCAUGGAGGGGUGUGUGUGGGGGGGGGGGGGUCCAAAUAUUCCUUUAACUGAUCAAAUAGGAGAUAGCUAAUUUUUUUAGCCUAACUAAUCCAAACAAGGGAACAUGAGAAUUGAUUGAUAAAUUCUUGGAAUCGGCCACAUGAUACCCGUCAAUUUCUCAACCAAAGAUCAUUUCUCAAUCAGAAAACCAAAGCUUGUCUACUACUCCAUCCGUUUCAAAAUGCAAGUAGUUUUGAAUUUUCUAUACAGAUAGGUCCUGCUAUGCACCUAAAUAUAGAGUUAUACCUAGAUAAAUAACAUCUAUAGCCUUGACCAGAGCUUGGAGACCCCUUGCAACUGUAGCAGCCGCCAUGGGAGUUGGAGGUGUUGUCUAGGGUUUCACUACGACACUACCUGGAAGGCUUAUUAUAGGGAGAAGUUGUAGGGAGAAGUUGGGCCGAGUGGAACGAAUGAGGCUUUAGAGGCUUAUUAUAGGGAGAGGGGUCUGGCCCAGUGGAACGAAUGGGAGGCAAAAAUGUUCAUGGAGGGGUGUGUGGGGGGGGGGUCCAAAUAUUCCUUUAACUGAUCAAAUAGGAGAUAGCUAAUUUUUUAGCCUAACUGAUCCAAACAAGGGAACAUGAGAAUUGAUUGAUAAAUUCUUGGAAUCGGCCACAUGAUACCCGUCAAUUUCUCAACCAAAGAUCAUUUCUCAAUCAGAAAACCAAAGCUUGUCUACUACUCUAUCCGUUUCAAAAUGCAAGUAGUUUUGAAUUUUCUAUACAGAUAGGUCCUGCUAUGCACCUAAAUAUAGAGGUAUACCUAGAUAAAUAACAUCUAUAGCCUUAACCAGAGCUUGGAGACCCCUUGCAACUGUAGCAGCCGCCAUGGGAGUUGGAUGUGUUGUCUAGGGUUUCACUACGACACUACCUGGAAGGCUUAUUAUAGAGAGAUGUUGUAGGGAGAAGGUUGGCCAAUUGGACCGAAUGAGGCUGUAGAGGCUUAUUAUAGGGAGAGGGGUCUGGCCCAGUGGAACGAAUGGGAGGGAAAAAUGUUCAUGGAGGGGUGUGUGUGGGGGGGGGUCCAAAUAUUCCUUUAACUGAUCAAAUAGGAGAUAGCUAAUUUUUUUAGCCUAACUAAUCCAAACAAGGGAACAUGAGAAUUGAUUGAUAAAUUCUUGGAAUCAGCCACAUGAUACCCGUCAAUUUCUCAACCAAAGAUCAUUUCUCAAUCAGAAAACCAAAGCUUGUCUACUAAUCCAUCCGUUUCAAAAUGCAAGUAGUUUUGAAUUUUCUAUACAGAUAGGUCCUGCUAUGCACCUAAAUAUAGAGUUAUACCUAGAUAAAUAACAUCUAUAGCCUUGACCAGAGCUUGGAGACCCCUUGCAACUGUAGCAGCCGCCAUGGGAGUUGGAGGUGUUGUCUAGGGUUUCACUACGACACUACCUGGAAGGCUUAUUAUAGGGAGAAGUUGUAGGGAGAAGUUGGGCCGAGUGGAACGAAUGAGGCUUUAGAGGCUUAUUAUAGGGAGAGGGGUCUGGCCCAGUGGAACGAAUGGGAGGCAAAAAUGUUCAUGGAGGGGUGUGGGGGGGGGGGGUCCAAAUAUUCCUUUAACUGAUCAAAUAGGAGAUAGCUAAUUUUUUAGCCUAACUGAUCCAAACAAGGGAACAUGAGAAUUGAUUGAUAAAUUCUUGGAAUCGGCCACAUGAUACCCGUCAAUUUCUCAACCAAAGAUCAUUUCUCAAUCAGAAAACCAAAGCUUGUCUACUACUCCAUCCGUUUCAAAAUGCAUGUAGUUUUGAAUUUUCUAUACAGAUAGGUCCUGCUAUGCACCUAAAUAUAGAGUUAUACCUAGAUAAAUAACAUCUAUAGCCUUAACCAGAGCUUGGAGACCCCUUGCAACUGUAGCAGCCGCCAUGGGAGUUGGAUGUGUUGUCUAGGGUUUCACUACGACACUACCUGGAAGGCUUAUUAUAGAGAGAUGUUGUAGGGAGAAGGUUGGCCAAUUGGAACGAAUGAGGCUGUAGAGGCUUAUUAUAGGGAGAGGGGUCUGGCCCAGUGGAACGAAUGGGAGGGAAAAAUGUUCAUGGAGGGGUGUGUGUGGGGGGGGUCCAAAUAUUCCUUUAACUGAUCAAAUAGGAGAUAGCUAAUUUUUUUAGCCUAACUGAUCCAAACAAGGGAACAUGAGAAUUGAUUGAUAAAUUCUUGGAAUCGGCCACAUGAUACCCGUCAAUUUCUCAACCAAAGAUCAUUUCUCAAUCAGAAA